rnacentral:rRNA from 1 species
GUGUCAGCAGCCGCGGUAAGACGAACCGUGCGAACGUUGUUCGGAAUCACUGGGCUUAAAGGGCGCGUAGGCGGAGGGAUCAGUCAGAGGUGAAAUCCUGCGGCUCAACCGUAGAAGUGCCUUUGAUACGGUCCGUCUCGAGGGAGGUAGGGGCGUGCGGAACUUCCGGUGGAGCGGUGAAAUGCGUAGAUAUCGGAAGGAACACCGGUGGCGAAAGCGGUGCGCUGGACCUCUUCUGACGCUGAGGCGCGAAAGCCAGGGGAGCGAACGGGAUUAGAUACCCCGGUAGUCCUGGCCCUAAACGAUGGGUACUAGGUAGUGGACUUGACAUGGGUUCACUGCCGAAGCAAAAGUGUUAAGUACCCCGCCUGGGGAGUAUGGUCGCAAGGCUGAA